rnacentral:lncRNA from 1 species
AACUUUUUGUUAAUUUUCUUGGGAAUUUAUGCAGGUCAAGAAAAUGAGCAAAAGUGCUGCAGAGGUUGGAUCCUCGGAACAUACUACAAUUAACGCAGAAGUAAUAAGUAAUUACUGCAAUACUUAUUAAACAUUCACCCUGUGCACAGUUCUGUAUGCAAUGCUCAUGGAAGGAUUAUGAAUGUUAGUACAUAUUAAUGUUGCUGCUGUUUGAGUCUGUUCAGGUGUGUUGCACUCUGUGAGAAAUGUGAAGAAACAUAACAGCCCCAACCUCUAGGUAAUUAAAAUCUUGUUGGAAAGAAAAGGGAAAGAUAUGUGUAAC